rnacentral:rRNA from 1 species
UCGAGAAUCUUCGGCAAUGGGCGCAAGCCUGACCGAGCGACGCCGCGUGGAGGACGAAGGCCUUCGGGUUGUAAACUCCUGUCGAGGGGGAAGAAGGGGUAACACCUUGACUGAUCCCUGGAGGAAGCACGGGCUAAGUUCGUGCCAGCAGCCGCGGUAAGACGAACCGUGCGAACGUUAUUCGGAAUCACUGGGCUUAAAGCGCGUGUAGGCGGGACGGCACGUCGGUCGCUGAAAUCCCCCGGCUCAACCGGGGAACGGGCGCCGAAACGACCGCUCUCGAGGGACGUAGGGGGACCUGGAACUUCCGGUGGAGCGGUGAAAUGCGUUGAGAUCGGAAGGAACGCCCGUGGCGAAAGCGAGGUCCUGGACGUUUUCUGACGCUGAGACGCGAAAGCCAGGGGAGCGAACG